CCAGCACCGUGGAAGGGACGCAGCUCCGCGUUUCCUGCUCAUGUUCGGCUCAUGUAAAUCUCUGCAGUGCAGCAUGCAAACCUCUGCAGGGGAAUACACCAGCUCCACGCAUGCAUGCAAAACGCCCGGCGAACGCGCUGAGCUGGGCAAAACCUGGGUCCAUGAAGCUACCAAACCAGAGCGAUUCCAGCUCCUCGUCUACCUGGAAGCCCAGGUUUGUGUCUCCUUCUGAAGUCUGUCUGGGUGGAUAACGUCGGCCUUCAGGUGUCGGACCCGCAGGAAUUCGGCUGUGAUGUCUAAACUCCGGCAUUUCUUCUCCCUCAUGAAUACUCAGAGUUUAUUCUGCUGAGUCUGGCAGACAGAUCAGAUUCUCGUAAGAAACGUCUCCACAUUUUCCCCGAGGAAACGUGAUCCAGACGUUCGUCUCAAUGUGACCUACUUGUUUCUGAAGUCGCGACAAAUAAAUAUGAAAAAUCCACAAAAAGCAGGAAAAAGAGAAGCAGAUGGGAAAAACUGAAACGAGAUUUCAUUUAAUUGCUUUUACUUUCAUGAAUGCAUGAAUGGAGAUAAUUUUAGGGACAAAACAACUGCAUGAUUUCCAAGAAAAACAAUGAUAGCAGUUUGAUGUGCUUCUAAUCCAUAUUGGUUUAAUGAAAUGGAUUAAUUAAUUAAUCAAUGAUUAAUCAAUUAUUGAAAUAAAUGUCAACUGAUUUA